rnacentral:rRNA from 1 species
AUUGAACGCUGGCGGCAUGCCUUACACAUGCAAGUCGAACGGUAACAGGUUAAGCUGACGCGUGGCGAACGGGUGAGUCAUGUAUCGGAACGUGCCCAGUCGUGGGGGAUAACUCCUCGAAAGAGCAGCUAAUACCGCAUACGACCUGACGGUGAAAGCGGGGGAUCGCAAGACCUCGCGCGAUUGGAGCGGCUGGUAUCAGAUAAGGAAGUUGGUGAGGUAAAGGCCUCCCAAGCCGACGAGCUGUAGCUGGUCUGUAUGAACGACCAGCCACACUGUGACGGAGACACGACCCAGACUCCUACGGGAGGCAGCAGUGGGGAGUUUUGAACAAUGGGCGCAAGCCUGAUCCAGCCAUGCCGCGUGCGAGAAGAAGGCCUGCGGGUUGUAAACCGCUUUUGUCAGGGAAGAAAAGGUUCUGGCUAAUACCUGGGACUCAUGACGGUACCUGAAGAAUAAGCACCGGCUAACUACGUG